rnacentral:rRNA from 1 species
CCUACGGGGGGCAGCAGUGAGGAAUAUUGGUCAAUGGACGAGAGUCUGAACCAGCCAAGUAGCGUGAAGGAUGACUGCCCUAUGGGUUGUAAACUUCUUUUAUAUGGGAAUAAAACGUUCCACGUGUGGGAUUUUGUAUGUACCAUAUGAAUAAGGAUCGGCUAACUCCGUGCCAGCAGCCGCGGUAAUACGGAGGAUCCGAGCGUUAUCCGGAUUUAUUGGGUUUAAAGGGAGCGUAGGUGGAUUGUUAAGUCUGUUGUGAAAGUUUGCGGCUCAACCGUAAAAUUGCAGUUGAAACUGGCAGUCUUGAGUACAGUAGAGGUGGGCGGAAUUCGUGGUGUAGCGGUGAAAUGCUUAGAUAUCACGAAGAACUCCGAUUGCGAAGGCAGUUCACUGGACUGCAACUGACACUGAGGCUCGAAAGUGUGGGUAUCAAACAGGAUUAGAUACCCUGGUAGUC